rnacentral:precursor_RNA from 1 species
UUAUGGCGGACAGUUAAAAAACAUGUUUUAUCAUCCAUGUUUUUUCCGUCCACCAUAUUU